rnacentral:rRNA from 1 species
UACAGAGGGGGCAAGCGUUGUUCGGAAUUACUGGGCGUAAAGGGCGCGUAGGCGGCCCGUUAAGUCGAACGUGAAAUCCCCAGGCUCAACCUGGGAACUGCGUCCGAUACUGGCGGGCUUGAAUCCGGGAGAGGGAUGCGGAAUUCCAGGUGUAGCGGUGAAAUGCGUAGAUAUCUGGAAGAACACCGGUGGCGUAAGCGGCUUGCUGGGCUUUAACUGACGCUGAGGAACGAAAGCUAGGGUAGCGAAUGGG